UUUUUUUUUUUUUUUUUUUUUUUUUUUUAGCUUUAAGCAAGAAGUUUUAUGCAGAAAUUGUUUGUGAGAAUGUUGAAGUUAAAAAACAUAGUUAUUAAUCCAAACUCAGAAAUCAAACAGGGAUAAGUCAGCGAAAAGAUGAUAUAUUGAAAAUUCAUGAAGGCCAACGAGAAGUUAGCCUCUAUCGCCCUGAAAAUUUAAACCAACCCCCCAAAAGACCCUCCUAAUCUAUUAAUUCCUCUGCUUGGGAGUCCCAAGGAAGUGAAAGAGAAUCCCUUAGAGCUCUGAUACAUCUAUAAAUUGGUUUUCUCCAUAAAUGUACACAUACAUGUAUCCUUCCAUCCUGUCUCCAGAAGCAGCAGUGACUGGCAUGCACACUGAAAACAAAGAAAUAGGGCAGGCAGGAAGGCACAGCAGGUACAUACUGGCAGAGGCCUGAUGUCUGCCCUUUACUGUAACUGCUCAAUGCCUUUCAUUGCCUCACAUACAUUUGAUUGGUAACUACAAAGAUGUGCAUUUACAUGUGUGAGAUAUUAAAAUGAUGGUUACAUGUAUACAUAUGUACCAAACCUGCAUGGUCAGCACAUGUAUCCCAGAACUUAAAGUAAAAUAAAAAAUAAAACAAUUUGAAAAAAAAGAUGGUUAAUGUAAAAUAAUAUAAUAAAGAUUACGUACUUCAUCAUAGGAUUCUUAUAAAGAAGUGUAGGGAAAAUACAAAUUUUAAGAAGCAAAGUUUAAUCAUACUUAUUAAGCAAGACUUUUCACAAGAAUUGAGUAUAAAUUCAAUCUCCAUAUUUCAGUUAACUUCAAACCUUGUUUCAAAUUAUCCUUUCCAAGUUUCAAUAAUAUGGCAAAUAGGACAACCAGUAAACUUUUAUUGCUUAAGAAUAUCAAUCUAGGCCGGGCGCGGUGGCUCACGCCUGUAAUUCCAGCACUUUGGGAGGCCGAGGCAGGUGGAUCACGAGGUCAGGAGAUCGAGACCAUCCUGGCUAACAGGGUGAAACCCCGUCUCUACUAAAAAUACAAAAAAAUUAGCCGGGUGUGGUGGCGGGCGCCUGUAGUCCCAGCUACUCGGCAGGCUGAGGCAGGAGAAUGGCGUGAACCUGGGAGGCGGAGCUCGCAGUGAGCCAAGAUAGAGCCACUGUACUCCAGCCUGGGUGACAGAGCGAGACGCUGUCUCAAAAAAAAAAAAAAAAAAAAAA
ensembl:lncRNA novel transcript, antisense to SSR3